UGUUUCGGCUAGGGGGUCAUCCCGACUUACCAACCCGAUGCAAACUACGAAUACCGAAGAAUGUUAUCACGGGAGACACACGGCGGGUGCUAACGUCCGUCGUGAAGAGGGAAACAACCCAGACCGCCAGCUAAGGUCCCAAAGUCAUGGUUAAGUGGGAAACGAUGUGGGAAGGCACAGACAGCCAGGAUGUUGGCUUAGAAGCAGCCAUCAUUUAAAGAAAGCGUAAUAGCUCACUGGUCGAGUCGGCCUGCGCGGAAGAUGUAACGGGGCUAAACCAUGCACCGAAGCUGCGGCAGCGACACUAUGUGUUGUUGGGUAGGGGAGCGUUCUGUAAGCCUGCGAAGGUGUGCUGUGAGGCAUGCUGGAGGUAUCAGAAGUGCGAAUGCUGACAUAAGUAACGAUAAAGCGGGUGAAAAGCCCGCUCGCCGGAAGACCAAGGGUUCCUGUCCAACGUUAAUCGGGGCAGGGUGAGUCGACCCCUAAGGCGAGGCCGAAAGGCGUAGUCGAUGGGAAACAGGUUAAUAUUCCUGUACUUGGUGUUACUGCGAAGGGGGGACGGAGAAGGCUAUGUUAGCCGGGCGACGGUUGUCCCGGUUUAAGCAUGUAGGCUGGUUGUCCAGGCAAAUCCGGAUAAUCAAGGCUGAGGUGUGAUGACGAGGCACUACGGUGCUGAAGUAACAAAUGCCCUGCUUCCAGGAAAAGCCUCUAAGCAUCAGGUAACAUCAAAUCGUACCCCAAACCGACACAGGUGGUCAGGUAGAGAAUACCAAGGCGCUUGAGAGAACUCGGGUGAAGGAACUAGGCAAAAUGGUGCCGUAACUUCGGGAGAAGGCACGCUGGUGUGUAGGUGAAGUCCCUGCGGAUGGAGCUGAGACCAGUCGAAGAUACCAGCUGGCUGCAACUGUUUAUUAAAAACACAGCACUGUGCAAACACGAAAGUGGACGUAUACGGUGUGACGCCUGCCCGGUGCCGGAAGGUUAAUUGAUGGGGUUAUCCGUAAGGAGAAGCUCUUGAUCGAAGCCCCGGUAAACGGCGGCCGUAACUAUAACGGUCCUAAGGUAGCGAAAUUCCUUGUCGGGUAAGUUCCGACCUGCACGAAUGGCGUAAUGAUGGCCAGGCUGUCUCCACCCGAGACUCAGUGAAAUUGAACUCGCUGUGAAGAUGCAGUGUACCCGCGGCAAGACGGAAAGACCCCGUGAACCUUUACUAUAGCUUGACACUGAACAUUGAGCCUUGAUGUGUAGGAUAGGUGGGAGGCUUUGAAGCGUGGACGCCAGUCUGCGUGGAGCCAACCUUGAAAUACCACCCUUUAAUGUUUGAUGUUCUAACGUUGGCCCCUGACCGGGGUUGCGGACAGUGUCUGGUGGGUAGUUUGACUGGGGCGGUCUCCUCCCAAAGCGUAACGGAGGAGCACGAAGGUUAGCUAAUCCUGGUCGGACAUCAGGAGGUUAGUGCAAUGGCAUAAGCUAGCUUGACUGCGAGCGUGACGGCGCGAGCAGGUGCGAAAGCAGGUCAUAGUGAUCCGGUGGUUCUGAAUGGAAGGGCCAUCGCUCAACGGAUAAAAGGUACUCCGGGGAUAACAGGCUGAUACCGCCCAAGAGUUCAUAUCGACGGCGGUGUUUGGCACCUCGAUGUCGGCUCAUCACAUCCUGGGGCUGAAGUAGGUCCCAAGGGUAUGGCUGUUCGCCAUUUAAAGUGGUACGCGAGCUGGGUUUAGAACGUCGUGAGACAGUUCGGUCCCUAUCUGCCGUGGGCGCUGGAGAAUUGAGGGGGGCUGCUCCUAGUACGAGAGGACCGGAGUGGACGCAUCACUGGUGUUCGGGUUGUCAUGCCAAUGGCACUGCCCGGUAGCUAAAUGCGGAAGAGAUAAGUGCUGAAAGCA
rnacentral:rRNA from 1 species